rnacentral:misc_RNA from 1 species
GUAAUUAUUACGAUUAUUCAGACGCUGAUUGAAAAUUAAAAAGGUUAUUAACGUGUCCAACCGGUGGGCGAGCCCGCCGAGGAAACAGGAGUACGCAAAAAGACAAGGGUUCAGACAGAGAGCGUACUCGCAAUCCAACUGCCAAAGCAAGCUGGAAACUUUCCGCUCCCCCUGAGCAGUAGAAAACUACUGAGUGUAAUGAUCCUUCCGCAGGUUCACCUACGGAAA